rnacentral:rRNA from 1 species
GAUGAACGCUGGCGGCGUGCCUAAUACAUGCAAGUCGAGCGAACGGACGAGAAGCUUGCUUCUCUGAUGUUAGCGGCGGACGGGUGAGUAACACGUGGAUAACCUACCUAUAAGACUGGGAUAACUUCGGGAAACCGGAGCUAAUACCGGAUAAUAUUUUGAACCGCAUGGUUCAAAAGUGAAAGACGGUCUUGCUGUCACUUAUAGAUGGAUCCGCGCUGCAUUAGCUAGUUGGUAAGGUAACGGCUUACCAAGGCAACGAUGCAUAGCCGACCUGAGAGGGUGAUCGGCCACACUGGAACUGAGACACGGUCCAGGCUCCUACGGGAGGCCGCAGUAGGGAAUCUUCCGCAAUGGGCGAAAGCCUGACGGAGCAACGCCGCGUGAGUGAUGAAGGUCUUCGGAUCGUAAAACUCUGUUAUUAGGGAAGAACAUAUGUGUAAGUAACUGUGCACAUCUUGACGGUACCUAAUCAGAAAGCCACGGCUAACUACGUG